rnacentral:rRNA from 1 species
AUGCCUCACCUUCUCCCUCGGCUCCGGCCGUCGCCCCACGCCCCACCUUCUCCCCCGGCUCCGGUCUCCGCCCAAUCCCCCACCAUCUCGUGCCCCUGGCCGCGCCCCAUCCACCAUCCCCAUCGCCGGCCGGCCCCAUCCGCAGCGCGCCCGCCGUCCCCAUCCCCAGCGCACCAACCCCUAGGUCGCCACCUGCCUCAUCGCGACGUCGCCCACUGCCCUUCCUCCUGGCUUCUCCCAGCCAUGUCGAGCGCCGCCUCCCUGCUCCAAGCUCGCUGCAGACUACAUAGAGCCGCCAGCCCCCGCCGCCUCCCGUGCUAG